UUUUUCUUUUCCCUUCAGCUUAUAAACAUGUAACUUAUUUUAUCACUUUAUCAUGCUACACAUAUGUAGCCGAGCUAAAUUUUAUUUUAUUUUAUUUUAAUUUUGGUCAAUUAUUCACAUCAUUUUUUGUUGUGGACUUCCCCAAAAGUGUUUCUCAUUGUAAAUAGGUUCCACUCUAUUAUUUUCCGUGACAUACCUUUUUGUUUCCCUGGGGGGUGAUUUGGCGUCGCACCUUUGUGACCAGCUUCAGUGAGCACUGACGCUCGGAGCUGUGGAGAGAGAUUCUGUUUGCCGUGGACUGUGUGUGACGCCCUGUUUUUGUCUAUUUCCAAAAAAAAGGUGAAUAAAUCCCCAUGAUUCAACUCCGGUGUGUGCGCCUCACUAAAAAGAUACACAACGCAGAACAACGCCAUGGUCCAGCUGCUGACAAGAGGACACAUGAUGACAGUGAGACUGGAUUCAUGACACCAGAACCAACAAGAUGUCACCUCUGCAGUCUGGACGAGCUCAUUUGGAUCUGCGGUGGACGAGGGAGACGUUGUCGUCCUGCGUUUGGAAAAUAAACAAGACCUGCUGAGCUUGUCCAGUAAAGUAAACCAGUAAACACCUUUAGCAUCAUGUUCAUGUUAACAAAAACAUGAUACGUUUUUACCAAAUUACAUUUCUGCUUGUGGGUUAAUUGUGUUACAAUGUUCAAUCAUAUUAAUGAUGAUGGAUUAAUCUGCAUUAAAGCGUUCAUUUUGACAGUCCUACUUUUUACCUGAAGUGCAGAGUCAGGAUGAUCAGGAUGCCCACGAACACAACAGCAGAACACAACAGCCUGAUGAUGUUUAUCGUUCUACAAGACAUUCCUACACAUGGACAUACAGUAGAUGUCUUCAGGAGACACAGAUGUGUUUUGGACAUGAGGGGUCUUACCAUUCACGCUCACGUGCACACCAAUGAUGUGGCGCCCCCUGCUGUUGUUGGCCUCACAGUAAUAAUCAUGGCCACCGUGCUCUGUGAUGUUCCUGAUGGUGAGCCUCUGAGCUGGACUGAUGUCUUUGAUGGUCAGGGUCUGACCUGGACUGAUGUCUUUGAUGGUCAGCGUCUGACCUGAUGCCAGAGGAGACGACAUGUUCUCCUUGUACCAGGUGUAGCUGGCGGCCGGGUUAGCAUCGCUGCUGCAGGUCAGAGUCCCGAACUGUCCCUCAUGGACAGACAUAGAAGACGACCUGGGAGGAUCUGAGGAACAGGACAUUGUCCUCAUCAGUGUCACCACACGUCUUCAAGACGUAGAUGUACUCACAUUGGACAUCAAUGAAGACGGGUUCUGAUGUCUUCUUCCCCAGCUGGUUCUCCACAGUACACCAAUACUCUGCUGAGUCUGAAGACUUGAUGGACUUGAAGACCAGUUGUCGACCUUUUCUGAGGACUUCAUCAUCUGAAGACACAUUCUUCUUCUUCUUGUACCAGCAGUAAUCAACUGUUGCUGGGACAUCGAUGUAGCAGCACAGACAAAACAUGAGUCAGUAAAGCAGCAGCAGACCUCCACCAAGGCGCCAGUGCACAUUACACUUGACAGUGCAUCAUAGUACACAUGCAGCGCCAUCUGCUGGAUCUGGUGGCUCACUGCCUCACUUUGCACUAAUGCCAGACCACAGGGGGACCCCAAAGUCCAAACAUACGCGCAUGAUUGCCCUAUGAAGUCUACCUAGCAACAAGUGCGACGUAAGCAGGAAUAAAAACAAAUGUGUUGACUUGUUGCUGCUUCUGCUAGCUGGCUAAACGUGUUCAUCAGCUGGGAGGUCAUUUCAAUUGGUUUGUGUUGUUUACUACUUCGUAGUUGGAAUAGAAACAAGAAAGAUUUGUGUUGUUUUCCUACUGAAGUGCUUUGUAGCGCACCAUGUUUUUCUGGAAGAAAGAAGCACUCACACAGGUGAGGAGAGAUGCUGAUAUGUUGAUGUUGUUGUGCAGUACAGGUGAUGUAGUCUCCAGGUGACAAGGUGACUUCUACUUUGGUUCCAUUCGUUAUAUACUUUCCAUUCUUCCGCCACACAAAAGACAAAGGAGCUUCCGGAAGGCAGCUUGUGUGACACAACAUUUGUGCAACAAGGUGAGAAUCUUCAACUGUGACUGACAUCACCUGCACCUGCACAGCUGGAGGCCAGAGGAGCAAACAUGAAACAUGUCAUAUUAAUAUUCAUUUUAGAUGCAAGUCACACAACAUACACACAUGACUGCUUCAUCUGGAACACCACUGUCCAAAGUCCAGUUUGCAGCCCACAGCUUGCUUUUGAUUGGCUGCUGACUUAUUUCUAAAUAAAAUUACACCUGACCCGCAUUCAAACACUAGAAAAGAUUAGUGACUUGGCAGAAAAUUCAAACAUAAUGUAAUAUACAGUAUUGUACAUAAUAUAUAUAUUUUAUUAUCUAAUCUAAAGUAUUCAUUGUAAUAUAGUUGUAUUAUUGGGCAUGUUUGGUCAGGUGUGUUCAUACCUGCUACUGUCAAGGUGCUUCCAGGUAAAAUACUCCUCCAUUCAAAACCUUCAUAAGUGGUGAAUUUGAAGCGGUACUCAGCAGAAUCAUUCUGGCUCACAUCUUUUAUUGUCAGUGUGCUUUUUCCAGAAGUCUCUGAAGGUAACUCAACACGACCUUCAUACUGAGGGUCUGACCAGAGAUCUUCAGUCAUGGAGGGAUUCCUCCAGUGACUAGAAUCCGUACGGUACCAGAAUUGUGUCUGGGUAUAUUCAUAGCUCGUGUAUUCACAUUUAAUGUCCACUGAUGAUCCUUGGAUGGCACAGAUGUGUCUCUUGGAGUAAACCACCUUGUUACAUGACAUGUACACCACACCUGAAAGACAGAAGAAGCAUUGAGCUGAGUCAGCACAAAGUUACAUGUGACGUGCAGCAGAAGACUGAAGAGUCCACUCACAUUUUGGAGGAGACGCAGCUUGCUCGUGUCCUCUUACAGCACAGGAGUAACUGCCUUUGUACUCAUGUUUGACUGUGUACACUUGGGACUUUUCAUUUUGGAUUUCCUCUCCAUUCUUAUACCAGACAUAUGAAGAAGAAGACCAAGGACUGCAAGUGGUGCUGACACACUUCAGAUCAUACCAAUGAGUUUUCCCAAUAACAUUGGGACUUGAGGGCACUUGUACUUUCAGAUCUGGAAUGAAAGGACAACUUAAAUAAUUUCAAAAUAAAAGUCUUAAUCUCCACUUCCACCAAAGGCAGUACAGUUUGGAUCAGUUUCUGUUCUCAUAAGUUGUGAAGGGUACUAAAAUAACUUGUCAGGGUACCAAGUACAGUUGUAGAGCAGCUAAAAGGGCGGAGUCAGACACAAUGCAGUGUGUUGAUUGGAGGACAGCAAAUGGUCAUUUCCAGAAUGUGAAGAAGACCAAAAACAUGAUGUCACUGUGGCUGGCCCCGCCUACUCCCAGCAGACAAUCAGCACAUGGACUUCCUGACCUCAAACUGGACUGAGCUUGGUGGAAAUGUGUUUUAUGGAAAGCAGUACCAGUGACGGUCACUUUGACACCAGGCGUGACGAUGAAGUCUCCUCUGGAAUGGUUAGUUGUGAAUCUGAACGUGUACUCGUCACUCCGUCUCACGUCUGCGAUGGUCAGACUGCAGAUGUUGCCAUGACACUCAGACUGUAUCCUACCAAAGUACUGAGGGUCCAAUCUUAGAUCUUCAUUUGAAUCUUUGUUGAACCAAAAUGUUUCCUUGACCUUGAUCUCACGCCCGUCUUCUGUGGGCGGGAACUUAAAGGAGCACUGAAGCUUCACAGUGGAUCCUUUAAUUGCACAGAUCUCCUUCUCAGUGUAGGUCCCCCCCCACUCAGCACUGAGCAGCCCUGUGAUGGAUUGAGAUGACAAUGACCUGGAUGAAUGACAACAUCCAUUGACAUGUCAUGAAUUCUAUUUGAAAGAUUAGUCGACUAAUCAGAUUAUUGAGUGUAAACAUAUUCAGUGGUUCUAAUUCAGCCAAAGGCCUUUAGAGUUGUGUCAUAUUUUAGGCAUGUGCUAACUGACAAUAAAGAUGACUACUUCAUUCAGAAAUAUUUAUUAAUACUGUAACCGUGUUGCUUAUCGGAUGGUUACAAAAAUAAUAACCCUUAGUACAUGUAAAUGUACAUAACUUAAAAAAUACCUCUCUCUAUGAAAAUGUAAAAAUACAGAUAAAGGCAUCACAUAAUAAAACAUUUGACAGGCUGAUACUAUUUAUGAACAAAAACACAAAUAUUUGUCUUUAAAUAUAUAGAUCUAGAACAUAGAACAUUUUUAUGAGAUAUUCCAAAUUGCAUGAUGACAUCGCGUUCACACCCCAACACUGUUUUACCUAACAUAGUGAAUAAUCCUGAUUUCAAUAUUGAGAAAAAUAAUCUUAAUUAUUAUUUUGCCCAGAAUCGUGCAGUCCUAUAUGUAAGACUUGACCUCAUAUAUGAACACUAUUUUUAUCUAUAUGGACCAAAAGUGCAGUUACGUCUUAUGUCCAAAAAAAAAUUCACAUUUACUUGUAUUUAUUUACAGUAUUAUUUUGUUUCUGCCAUAUUACCUUGUUUAUAAUGCUUGUGUUGCUUUCAUAUGCACAUUCAACUUUCUACUUGAGGUACAUAUAUACAUUUUGAAUGUGUUGUUUGUGUUUAAAAAAAAAUUAAACUUGGUUAAAGGAUUUCAGUAUAGGUAGUUUUUGAAAAUUUCAAACACAUUUAAAAU